rnacentral:sRNA from 1 species
GCGAGACGCGUGGUCCGCCGACCGGAUGCGACCGAUAAACUGGUCCCGGACCGACGCCGGGCGCAGCUCCCGGCUCGUUCCAUCAAUGCUCAGCCAGCAGCCGCUGCAACCCCAGGGAG